AGUGAACGCUGGCGGUAGGCCUAACACAUGCAAGUCGAACGGCAGCACAGUAAGAGCUUGCUCUUACGGGUGGCGAGUGGCGGACGGGUGAGGAAUACAUCGGAAUCUACUUUUUCGUGGGGGAUAACGUAGGGAAACUUACGCUAAUACCGCAUACGACCUACGGUUGAAAGCAGGGGAUCUUCGGCCCUUGCGCGAUUGAAUGAGCCGAUGUCGGAUUAGCUAGUUGGCGGGGUAAAGGCCCACCAAGGCGACGAUCCGUAGCUGGUCUGAGAGGAUGAUCAGCCACACUGGAACUGAGACACGGUCCAGACUCCUACGGGAGGCAGCAGUGGGGAAUAUUGGACAAUGGGCGCAAGCCUGAUCCAGCCAUACCGCGUGGGUGAAGAAGGCCUUCGGGUUGUAAAGCCCUUUUGUUGGGAAAGAAAAGCAGCAGGUUAAUACCCCGCUGUUCUGACGGUACCCAAAGAAUAAGCACCGGCUAACUUCGUG
rnacentral:rRNA from 1 species